UACGGAGGGUGCGAGCGUUAAUCGGAAUUACUGGGCGUAAAGCGCACGCAGGCGGUUUGUUAAGCUAGAUGUGAAAGCCCCGGGCUCAACCUGGGAUGGUCAUUUAGAAAUGGCAGACUAGAGUCUUGGAGAGGGGAGUGGAAUUCCAGGUGNAGCGGUAAAUGCGUAGAUAUCUGGNGGAACAUCAGUGGCGAAGGCGANUCCCUGGCCAAAGACUGACGCUCAUGUGCGAAAGUGUGGGUNNCGAANAGG
rnacentral:rRNA from 1 species